AUGAACGCUGGCGGCGUGCUUAACACAUGCACGUCGAACGGUGAACACGGAGCUUGCUCUGUGGGAUCAGUGGCGAACGGGUGAGUAACACGUGAGCAACCUGCCCCUGACUCUGGGAUAAGCGCUGGAAACGGCGUCUAAUACUGGAUAUGUGACGUGACCGCAUGGUCUGCGUUUGGAAAGAUUUUUCGGUUGGGGAUGGGCUCGCGGCCUAUCAGCUUGUUGGUGAGGUAAUGGCUCACCAAGGCGUCGACGGGUAGCCGGCCUGAGAGGGUGACCGGCCACACUGGGACUGAGACACGGCCCAGACUCCUACGGGAGGCAGCAGUGGGGAAUAUUGCACAAUGGGCGCAAGCCUGAUGCAGCAACGCCGCGUGAGGGAUGACGGCCUUCGGGUUGUAAACCUCUUUUAGCAGGGAAGAAGCGAAAGUGACGGUACCUGCAGAAAAAGCGCCGGCUAACUACGUG
rnacentral:rRNA from 1 species